CCUACGGGAGGCAGCAGUGAGGAAUAUUGGUCAAUGGGCUUACGCCUGAACCAGCCAAGUCGCGUGAGGGAAGACUGCCCUAUGGGUUGUAAACCUCUUUUGUCAGGGAGCAACGCCGGCUACGUGUAGCCGGACUGAGAGUACCUGAAGAAAAAGCAUCGGCUAACUCCGUGCCAGCAGCCGCGGUAAUACGGAGGAUGCGAGCGUUAUCCGGAUUUAUUGGGUUUAAAGGGUGCGUAGGCGGAUUGAUAAGUUAGAGGUGAAAUGUCCGAGCUUAACUCGGGAACUGCCUCUAAUACUGUUGAUCUAGAGAGUAGAUGCGGUAGGCGGAAUGUAUGGUGUAGCGGUGAAAUGCUUAGAGAUCAUACAGAACACCGAUUGCGAAGGCAGCUUACUAAACUGCCACUGACAUUGAUGCUCGAAAGUGUGGGUAUCAAACAGGAUUAGAUACCCGUGUAGUC
rnacentral:rRNA from 1 species